AACGAACGCUGGCGGCAGGCCUAAUACAUGCAAGUCGAACGCCCCGCAAGGGGAGUGGCGCACGGGUGAGUAACGCGUGGGGAUGUGCCCUUGGGUACGGAACAACACCGGGAAACUGGUGCUAAAACCGUAUAAUGACUCCGGUCCAAAGAUUUAUCGCCCAAGGAUCAACCCGCGUUGGAUUAGCUAGUUGGUGAGGUAAUGGCUCACCAAGGCGACGAUCCAUAGCUGGUCUUAGAGGAUGAUCAGCCACACUGGAACUGAGACACGGUCCAGACUCCUACGGGAGGCAGCAGUAAGGAAUAUUGGACAAUGGGGGAAACCCUGAUCCAGCCAUGCCGCGUGAAUGAAGAAGGCCUUAGGGUUGUAAAGUUCUUUUAGUGGUGAAGAUAAUGACGGUAGCCACAGAAAAAGCUCCGGCUAACUCCGUGCCAGCAGCCGCCGCCG
rnacentral:rRNA from 1 species